CUUCCUUGCGCUCGAGUGUCUGGU
rnacentral:siRNA from 1 species